UUUACAGAUGGCUUAUAGUUAUACAUGUAAAAGAUUUACAAAAAGAAAAAUGGGGUCACCGGGCAAAUAUUUCCAAGGCAUUCAAAUGGAUAAAACCAGAGGAAUUUGAAAAUCUGACAAAAAAUCUAACACAUGACAAGCCAGCUUCCUUAAUUAAUAUAGAUCAAAAGAUACCCUAUACUUACAUAUAUAGUUUUCUGAUCAAUAAGAAAAUUGUAUAGACAGGCCUUAAGUAGAUCUUAGGUAACCACAAUAUUUUAACAAGUGCUUAGUGGAUAAUUUAAUCGAAAGAUACCCUAUUUUUCUGGUCAUAAGAGAUGUAAGUCAAAAUAGCAAAAUAGCAUAGACAGGCACUUACAACAAAACAUGUAGUAGAUAUCAGGUAACCAGACUAUUGGUAACCAGUAGUUAUAGGCACUAAGUAGAUAUAUCAAGUACCAGAUUACAAAUGUAUUAAUAACCAGUAAUUAUAGGCACUAAGUAGAUAUCCGGUACCAGAUCAUUGGUAACCAGGAUAUAAUUAGAUGCCAGACAACUUAGGAUGGUUACCUGAUUAUACAGGUAAAUUAAUGUCUAUCAACAUAUCAAACAUCAAUUGCUCUUUUUAUACACGUCCUUGAUUGGUUUCUCUGUUUUUAAACCAUUUUUGACAUAUAUUUUUGAAUGAAAGUGAUCAUGUUUGUCUGAGUGAGGAUGAUAUUUGAUCACAUGUGGGUGUGUAUAAACUUUGUAAUUGUGUAGGUAAAAUAAGAAGAAUAUUGUUCAUUGUUUAAUCCAAUUAUUCAACCCCAUCUCAUUCGGGUGCACUGGACUCCAAUUUUAAUUGACUAGGAUUUUCAGUUUUCCUAUUGAUGGUCAGUGGUUUUCUCUAAGCAUUCUGGCUUCCUCUACCGAUAAAAAUUUUGCCAUCACGAAAUAGCCCAAAAGCUGUGCUGAAAAGUGGGAUUAAAACACAUCGAAGUCAAAAACCAUGUAUGCUUUUUGUUCUGAAAUUCAAGGGUCUUAUAACUGUCAACUUAAGCCUUUGAAGCUAGAGCAGAAAUGUUUUCAAAGCUUAAUUAUUACUAGUAUAAUGUAUGACUAUGUUAUAUGUGUUGCAGGCCAUGCUUUUUUUCUGCUUUUAUCAAAAAAGGUUUCUCUCUUUUAGAUAACAACACAAAUAAAAUUGAGAAUUGAAAUGGGAAAGGUCUGAUUAUCAAAUAAUGACUUGUAAAUAAGGCCAUAAUUGAAGCUGUUUUGGGGUAAUAAUUGCACAAAAUGCAUUUGAAACCUCUUAAAUUCUCACUGGCUUAAUAGCAUAAUAUUUCAGGCCUUUUCUCCUUUCCUUUUGAGUGUACAAACAGAUUAUUGUUUUUUACAAACUUUAUUGAAAACUUUCACAUUUGUUAGUUGGAUACAGAAAGUACAGAUACCUUAUCCUGGCCUUGUCAAACAUUAGAUUGUAUAUUUACAGACAAAUUAGUGCAGUGAGCUGAACAUUCUUCAGAGCCUACAAUGUCUAUGUCGAUUAGAAUAUUGCCUAAAUAUAUUACAAAAUUAUUUGUAUACAUAUAAGUGCUUUUUGCUAUAUCCUGCACUAUGUUAAAAUCUUACUUACCAAAGUGCAUUAUAUAUGUACAUGUACAUUUACUUCCAUAAAUAUUGCAUUGUCAACCUCUUUAUAAUUAUUACUUGCAUUUAUUUUUUUGUGCAUUAGAUGGUUG
rnacentral:lncRNA from 1 species